UCGGCGCCAACGUUAAUAAGUAACUCUUAUUAACUCAGCAAAGGGAUGUUAGCCGUCGACAUUUUCCCCAGAUGUUCUAAUUAUGUUUCAUUGUUAGACGUUUGAUCUGGACUCAAGCUGUAGGCCUACCAGUCAGAUGAUUAACUCAGUGGAGGAGGAGGACAUUGCGGAUAUCAGGGCCUACUUUUCCACAACAAAAUGGAACCGCCUCUGUAUGGCGGAGAAAAAAAGAUUCCUGCAGAUCAAGGAAAACCAUUUGGUUAUGUCGUCUCUUGGCCUGUCCUUUGUGGCUCCAGCCUUCAUGAGGAGAGAGAAGCCCGGCCAGGUGAGAGUCUGCUCACCUGAAGAGACAGACUCUGAGGAGGAGCAGCUCUGGACCUCUGGAUUGACCGGUGCAAAGACAUUUACAAGACAUUUCUGGAAGGAGUAAUGUGCAGUGAACAUUAUCCCUUUCAAAGCCCUGAAGAUACAUUAGCCCGCUUAUACUGCUUAAUCAUUUGACCAAAGAUAUAGCAACAAAAAGGGGUUUUAUUGAUUUAAAGGGAUUUUAUUGCAUCUGAAAAAAGGAAAACCUGUACUAAACAUAUUUAACAAUAGGUUGUACCUCAUAGUAAAUUAGCAGGUUAUAUUACCCAUUUUAGUCAGUUAGUUGAAGUGAGUCGUUAAUAUACUACUUUAUAGUCAGUUAGUAGGAGUUAGUAGCAUACAUCCUUACUUACAGUUAGUCAGAUAUAGUAUGUAAGUUAGGUUUUAUACUUCAUUGGUUGUUAGUAGCUUAUACUACCUUUUUAGUCAUUUAGUAGUGAGUAGGAUACUUCCUUACUUAGAGUCAGUAAGUAGUUAUUUGGUUAAAUAUUAAUUUAUCGUAAGUCAGAAAG